UCGAGAAUCUUCGGCAAUGGACGAAAGUCUGACCGAGCGACGCCGCGUGCGGGAUGAAGGCCUUCGGGUUGUAAACCGCUGUCAGAGGGGAGGAAAGCUUCGGCUUGACUGAACCUCAGAGGAAGCACGGGCUAAGUUCGUGCCAGCAGCCGCGGUAACACGAACCGUGCGAACGUUAUUCGGAAUCACUGGGCUUAAAGGGUGCGUAGGCGGCUUUGCAAGUGGGAUGUGAAAUCCCUCAGCUCAACUGAGGAACUGCGUUCCAAACUGCAAAGCUAGAGGGAGACAGAGGUAAGCGGAACUGAUGGUGGAGCGGUGAAAUGCGUUGAUAUCAUCAGGAACACCAGUGGCGAAGGCGGCUUACUGGGUCUCUUCUGACGCUGAGGCACGAAAGCUAGGGUAGCGAACGGG
rnacentral:rRNA from 1 species